UACAGACUGCUGGCUGGGCUAGGUUGCUCUGUGCUCCCGGCUCCCAAGUGACCUGCUGACCUGCUGCGCCACACAAGCGCAUUCCCGCUGCUGCUGAGCUGCUCAGAACCAUCCGCCCAGCUUGGAGACAGUUUCUAGCUGCCUAGAGUCGAGUAGGCCUCGGCUUUCAGCAGGGGCUUCCCCUGAUCACUACUGCCGUAAAAGUAAAGCCGCAUCUCUUUCAGUGGUUGCGGUUGCGGUAGCAAGGCCGUAUACUCUCUAAGAUAAUUGCAGUCGCUUUUGUGACCUCUUUCCACUGCUGACUGACCGCUGCUGCCAAACGCUGCACGGAGUAGCUGAACGCCUGUGUCACCUGCUGGUCAAAGAGAGUUACUGCAUCUGGAGUAGAAAUCAGGGACAGAGGGCCAGGAGGAAAGCUGCUAGCGUCCAGCAGGUGGCAGCAGUUCCCAGAGGGACUGCUCUUCCAGGAACACCCUGGAUGGGGUUGCCCUCCGAGAGCCCAGCACGGCAUUCACACUCCCAGGUCCUUCUUGUUCCCGACUGCCAUUCUGGAGGGAUGGAAGACACGAGUUAAUACAGUUACCUUGUUAAACAAUAAAUGACUCUUGGCUUUGCAU
rnacentral:lncRNA from 1 species